rnacentral:rRNA from 1 species
GAACGGGUGAGUAACACGUGGGUAACCUGCCCAUCAGAAGGGGAUAACACUUGGAAACAGGUGCUAAUACCGUAUAACACUAUUUUCCGCAUGGAAGAAAGUUGAAAGGCGCUUUUGCGUCACUGAUGGAUGGACCCGCGGUGCAUUAGCUAGUUGGUGAGGUAACGGCUCACCAAGGCAACGAUGCAUAGCCGACCUGAGAGGGUGAUCGGCCACACUGGGACUGAGACACGGCCCAGACUCCUACGGGAGGCAGCAGUAGGGAAUCUUCGGCAAUGGACGAAAGUCUGACCGAGCAACGCCGCGUGAGUGAAGAAGGUUUUCGGAUCGUAAAACUCUGUUGUUAGAGAAGAACAAGGAUGAGAUUUU